CAAUGGAAAUAAAGUUUGUCAAAUCGGUUUGUCGUGAGUGCUCAACCGUCUUCAAACAGAUUUGUCAAACAAAUUUGUCGUGAGUGGGCCGCUUUAGUGAAAAAAGGUAAGUUUGAAUGAUAAAGUGUAAUGCAAUUCUUUAAACUUGUUUGUGCUUCUACUCGUAAAUAGUUUCGUGCAAAACUUUCGCCUAAGCAAGGACUCAUUCAAAUAUGUGUUGGAUAGCAUAAGUGGUGAGCUAAAAACUCCACGCAGGUCCACAGGAAUACCCGAAAUUGUGAAAUUAGCGGCAACUUUAAAAUUUUUGGCGCAGGGAGGGUAUCAACAGCAAAUUGGACAAGAUCAUCAUACAGGACUAGCUCAACAAACUGUUUCGCGUUGUAUGUUUGAAGUUUGCAAAGCGAUUGAAAAAGUGCUGUGUCCAAAACAUAUAACUUUUGGAAUGACAUCAGAGGAGAAAAAUGAAGCGAAACGAGCUUUUUACUCAGUGUUAGGAAUUCCAGGAGUAAAUGGAGUGGUGGAUGGUACUCACAUCCAAUUGAUACGACCGGCCGUAAAUGAACAUUUAUAUUUCAAUAGGAAAUUAAAACAUAGUAUAAACGCUAUGGUGAUAUGUGAUCAUAAGAUGAUGAUCAAAGCCGUUAACGGUCGGUUUGCUGGGGCGUGUCAUGAUUCACAUGUGUGGAAUUUAUCAAGCGAGCGCCAAUAUUUACAAACCAACUAUAUGAAUGGAGAAAGAGGAAUUCGCAUUCUUGGCGACUUGGAUAUCCGCUUGAGCCAUGGCUUUUAACUCCAUAUAGAAAUGCUGCUGAAAACUCUGCUGAGAGUUAUUACAACUACAAGUUUUCAAAAGCCAGAUCCUUUAUAGAACGAGUAUUUGGAGUGUUAAAAGCGCAGCUCCGAUGCCUUUUAGCUGCUAGAGAACUACAUUAUGCCCCAGAAAAAGUGGUGCAAAUUUUGAACGUAUGUUGUGCUCUUCAUAAUAUUUGCACUCUUUUUAAUGUGGAAUCACCUGCCAAUAAACAGUAUGACUACUUUAUAACCAUAUAACACUAUUUAGUUAAGUAAACAUUUUCAUUUUUCACAUUUUCACAUUUCUUCUUCUUCUUAAUUGGCGUAGACACCGCUUACGCGAUUAUAGCCGAGUUAACAACCGCGCGCCAGUCGUUUCUUCUUUUCGCUACGUGGCGCCAAUUGGAUAUUCCAAGCGAAGCCAGGUCCUUCUCCACUUGGUCCUUCCAACGGAGUGGAGGUCUUCCUCUUCCUCUGCUUCCCCCGGCGGGUACUGCGUCGAAUACUUUCAGAGCUGGAGUGUUUUCAUCCAUCCGGACAACAUGACCUAGCCAGCGUAGCCGCUGUCUUUUAAUUCGCUGAACUAUGUCAAUGUCGUCGUAUAUCUCGUACAGCUCAUCGUUCCAUCGAAUGCGAUAUUCGCCGUGGCCAACGCGCAAAGGACCAUAAAUCUUUCGCAGAAUUUUUCUCUCGAAAACUCGCAACGUCGACUCAUCCGCUGUUGACAUCGUCCAAGCCUCUGCACCAUAUAGCAGGACGGGGAUUAUGAGAGACUUAUAGAGUUUGGUUUUUGUCUGUCGAGAGAGGACUUUGCUUCUCAAUUGCCUACUCAGUCCGAAGUAGCACCUGUUGGCAAGAGUUAUCCUGCGUUGGAUUUCUAGGCUGAUGGAGUCAUGUGUAGAGGAGGAUGGAGUCAUGUGUAGAAGUUCACGCAAGUGAGGAAAGUUCUCUGAUCGCCAUUCACUUGGGAGUGGCCAGAAACGAUUCUUUUGCAUAUGACUCAAGCAGCUCACGACUUCCGGUCUUUGACCAAGUAUCCUCUGGGUAGCCUAAGAACAUCCGUUUGAAGGCGAGCUAACGUGAGAAGGCGAAACAUCCCCUGCAUAGGGUUGUGCGCUGGGUUUGGGACCCGCCACGUAAAAAAACACCCCCAGCGAAUAUUAACAUUUUCACAUUUAUUUGAUUAAAAUUCACAUUAAUGAUAUAAAGCUUUAGUCUCUUGCACAUGUGUAUAUAUAUCUAUAUAUGUAAGUAUUAUAUACUUGUAUGUAAUAAAAAGUAAAAACUAUCACAUCAACACAAAAUACGUUUUUAAUCAAAACAAUUCAUUUAAACUAUUAAUAUAAUAAAUAAGUAAUUAUCAGUAAGUAUUAAAAAAUAAGUAACAGACUUCAAUAUCAAUAACUAAAAUACAAUAUUUUUAUUGGCCGGACCGUUCAUUUCAAGCAUUUGCUUUUUUAGUUCUAGUGUUGCAAAUUUUAGUUUUGUUUUGUCCAAAUCAAUCCUUUUUUUUUUGUGUUCGAAUUUUUCAACAGCCAAUUUAUAUAUUCUUUUAGCCAUUUUAUGUUUUUUUUCAUACAUUUUGAAAUUACCUUCAGAUUUUCAUUAAUUUCAGAUAACACUUUUAAUGAACCUUUGUGAUAAGCGAUUUGGUAAUCCACCUGCUUAUUUAAAAGGCUAUCCUUCUUUUGCGGAGCGACUCUUUGUCGUGAACAAUGUGGCAUUUCAUCCACUGGCGUUGGUUCAUUUUGCCGGAAUUCGUCGGUUGUGAUGUCUGACCCACUUGGUUUUGUUAACUGUGCUGCACCAAAUUCUUAGGUGUCGCUUAUUCCACUGACGGAUAUUUCCAUUGCCAGAAGCUCACUAACCUGCUCCUCCAACGGUGUUAAGGUGCAAUGACUUGGAGGACCACCACCAGUUCCAGAGAUACUUACUUUGUUCCGCCGCAUUUUUGCUUUCAAAUGGUUUUUAUAAUCCGACCAAACCUUUAAAUAAUUAAGUAAUAUGUGCUUCAAAAAUCAUUUAUAAUUAAUCUUUUUUACCUUUUUCCAUUUUAAAACAUCGCGCGAUGGUGGCCCCGCAGCUUAAGGUCACAUACUAGGGUGGGUCGAUUCCGGACUUUUUUCGAUUCGGUAUUUCUAAUAGGGCGGAAAAGUUGCCUUAGUACUUCCUGAUUCCAAUGCAACUUUUUGUUUUGAGAUCGGAUUGCAUCUUCAACCCGAACCUCGGUCUUGAAAUUUCGGAAAUUCGCCUAAAAUCGUGAAAUUGUCUACCUAGCACCUGAAAUACGCAUCUCAUGGCAAAAUGUAUAAAACAAAAGUUAUUUGUCACGUCAUUUGCUACCGAAAUGGUAUAUGUGAUCAUGGCCGUAGGACGAACCGUUCCCGAGAUACGAGCGAAAAGGCGGCGCGCCACAGCGCAAGGUGAAAAUCGGCUUGCGGCCACACUUCUUGACGUUGAUUUCGCCGAGUGCUAUCACUCACAUUCAUUCACCUACGCCAAAGGACACGUUCGGAUAGAUCUCCACACAAAUAUUUUUUCAUCGAGUUCCUUCACUCUUGUCGGUGAUUUCGCCGAGUACUAUCACUUACAUUCAUUUCCCUGCGCCAUACGACACGUUCGGACUAUUUUUUCAUCGAGUUCCUUCACUCUUGCCGUUGAUUUCGCCAGGUGCUAUCACUUAUAUUCUCUCAACAAAACACAGAACUCAAAAUGUCUGUAUCUAAAUUUAAAUUUAGACAGAAAUGUCCUGUGUUUGGCAUAUAUCCGUACAAUCUCUCUGAGUCCCAGUUACCUACUUACCAGGAUGUUCUUUUGUGUUAUCAGUUUGAAAGAUUUGGUAUAGGGCGACUCCGAGGCGACAACUAUGAACCUAGGA